rnacentral:rRNA from 1 species
UACAGAGGGUGCAAGCGUUAAUCGGAAUUACUGGGCGUAAAGCGUGCGCAGGCGGUUAUGCAAGACAGAUGUGAAAUCCCCGGGCUCAACCUGGGAACUGCAUUUGUGACUGCAUGGCUAGAGUACGGUAGAGGGGGGUGGAAUUCCGCGUGUAGCAGUGAAAUGCGUAGAUAUGCGGAGGAACACCGAUGGCGAAGGCAAUCCCCUGGGCCUGCACUGACGCUCAUGCACGAAAGCGUGGGGAGCAAACAGG